rnacentral:rRNA from 1 species
CAGGAUUAGAUACCCUGGUAGUCCACGCCGUAAACGAUGUCUACUUGGAGGUUGUGCCCUAGAGGUGUGGCUUUCGGAGCUAACGCGUUAAGUAGACCGCCUGGGGAGUACGGUCGCAAGAUUAAAACUCAAAUGAAUUGACGGGGGCCCGCACAAGCGGUGGAGCAUGUGGUUUAAUUCGAUGCAACGCGAAGAACCUUACCUACUCUUGACAUCCAGAGAAUCUAGCGGAGACGCUGGAGUGCCUUCGGGAGCUCUGAGACAGGUGCUGCAUGGCUGUCGUCAGCUCGUGUUGUGAAAUGUUGGGUUAAGUCCCGC